AAUUCCAGCUCCAAUAGUGUAUAUUAAAGUUGUUGCAGUUAAAAAGCUCGUAGUUGGAUUUCUGCUGGAAGCAGCCAGUCCGCCCUUAGGGGUGUGUACGUGGUGAAAUUCCGGCAUCCUUCUGGUGGCGCUUCGCACUUAACUGGGUGGAGUGCUUUUCCAGGACUUUUACUUUGAGAAAAUUAGAGUGUUUCAAGCAGGCUUGUUGCCUUGAAUACUGCAGCAUGGAAUAAUAAGAUAGGAUUUCGGCCCUAUUUUGUUGGUUUCUAGGACUGAAGUAAUGAUUAAUAGGGACGGUUGGGGGCAUUCGUAUUUAACUGUCAGAGGUGAAAUUCUUAGAUUUGUUAAAGACGAACUACUGCGAAAGCAUUUGCCAAAGAUGUUUUCAUUAAUCAAGAACGAAAGUUAGGGGCUCGAAGACGAUCAGAUACCGUCGUAGUCUUAACCAUAAACUAUGCCGACUAGAGAUAGGAAAACGCCUACCUUGGCUUCUCCUG
rnacentral:rRNA from 1 species